rnacentral:rRNA from 1 species
CAGCCGCCGCGGUAAUACCAGCUCCUCGAGUGGUCGGGGCGAUUAUUGGGCCUAAAGCAUCCGUAGCCGGUUCCGUAGGUCCUCUGUUAAAUCCAACCGCUUAACGGUUGACCUGCAGAGGAUACCGCGGGACUAGGAGGCGGGAGAGGCGGACGGUACUCCGCGUGUAGGGGUAAAAUCCUUUGAUCCGCGGAAGACCACCAGUGGCGAAGGCGGUCCGCCAGAACGCGCUCGACGGUGAGGGAUGAAAGCUGGGGGAGCGAACCGGAUUAGAUACCCGGGUAGUCCCAGCCGUAAACGAUGCUAGCUAGAUGAUUCAUUCGCAAGUCGCGAAUGAAGUGUCGCAGGGAAGCCGUUAAGCUAGCCGCCUGGGGAGUACGGUCGCAAAGACUGAAACUUAAAGGAAAUUGGCGGGGGGAGCAC